UGGGGAAUUUUGGACAAUGGGCGCAAGCCUGAUCCAGCCAUGCCGCGUGCAGGAUGAAGGCCUUCGGGUUGUAAACUGCUUUUGUACGGAACGAAAAGACUCUGGUUAAUACCUGGGGUCCAUGACGGUACCGUAAGAAUAAGCACCGGCUAACUACGUGCCAGCAGCCGCGGUAAUACGUAGGGUGCGAGCGUUAUUCGGAAUUACUGGCCGUCAGGCGUGCGCAGGCGGUUAUGUAAGACAGAUGUGAAAUCCCCGGGCUCAACCUGGGAACUGCAUUUGUGACUGCAUAGCUAGAGUACGGCAGAGAGGGAUGGAAUUCCGCGUGUAGCAGUGAAAUGCGUAGAUAUGCGGGGGAACACCGAUGGCGAAGACAAUCCCCUGGGCCUGUACUGAGGCUCAUGCACGAAAGCGUGGGGAGCAAACA
rnacentral:rRNA from 1 species